rnacentral:rRNA from 1 species
GACGAACGCUGGCGGCGUGCUUAACACAUGCAAGUCGAACGGAAAGGCCCUGCUUUUGUGGGGUGCUCGAGUGGCGAACGGGUGAGUAACACGUGAGUAACCUGCCCUUGACUUUGGGAUAACUUCGGGAAACUGGGGCUAAUACCGGAUAGGAGCUCCUGCUGCAUGGUGGAGGUUGGAAAGUUUCGGCGGUUGGGGAUGGACUCGCGGCUUAUCAGCUUGUUGGUGGGGUAGUGGCUUACCAAGGCUUUGACGGGUAGCCGGCCUGAGAGGGUGACCGGCCACAUUGGGACUGAGAUACGGCCCAGACUCCUACGGGAGGCAGCAGUGGUGAAUAUUGCACAAUGGGCGGAAGCCUGAUGCAGCAACGCCGCGUGCGGGAUGACGGCCUUCGGGUUGUAAACCGCUUUCGCCUGUGACGAAGCGUGAGUGACGGUAAUGGGUAAAGAAGCACCGGCUAACUACGUG